rnacentral:rRNA from 1 species
UACGUAGGGGGCAAGCGUUGUCCGGAUCAUUGGGCGUAAAGAGCGUGUAGGCGGCCAGGUAGGUCGGUUGUGAAAACUGGAGGCUCAACCUCGAGACGUCGGCGGAAACCAUCUGGCUAGAGUCCGGAAGAGGAGAGUGGAAUCCUGGUGUAGCGGUGGAAAUGACGCAGAUAUCAGGAAGAACACCCGUGGCGAAGGCGGCUCUCUGGGACGGUACUGACGCUGAGACGCGAAA